rnacentral:rRNA from 1 species
AGCGGGCGAGGUUGCUUCGGUAACUGAGCUAGCGGCGGACGGGUGAGUAAUGCUUAGGAAUCUGCCUAUUAGUGGGGGACAACAUUCCGAAAGGAAUGCUAAUACCGCAUACGCCCUACGGGGGAAAGCAGGGGAUCUUCGGACCUUGCGCUAAUAGAUGAGCCUAAGUCAGAUUAGCUAGUUGGUGGGGUAAAGGCCUACCAAGGCGACGAUCUGUAGCGGGUCUGAGAGGAUGAUCCGCCACACUGGGACUGAGACACGGCCCAGACUCCUACGGGAGGCAGCAGUGGGGAAUAUUGGACAAUGGGCGCAAGCCUGAUCCAGCCAUGCCGCGUGUGUGAAGAAGGCCUUUUGGUUGUAAAGCACUUUAAGCGAGGAGGAGGCUACUUGGAUUAAUACUCUAGGAUAGUGGACGUUACUCGCAGAAUAAGCACCGGCUAACUCUGUGCCAGCAGCCGCGGUAAUACAGAGGGUGCGAGCGUUAAUCGGAUUUACUGGGCGUAAAGCGUGCGUAGGCGGCUUCUUAAGUCGGAUGUGAAAUCCCUGAGCUUAACUUAGGAAUUGCAUUCGAUACUGGGAAGCUAGAGUAUGGGAGAGGAUGGUAGAAUUCCAGGUGUAGCGGUGAAAUGCGUAGAGAUCUGGAGGAAUACCGAUGGCGAAGGUAGCCAUCUGGCCUAAUACUGACGCUGAGGUACGAAAGCAUGGGGAGCAAACAGGAUUAGAUACCCUGG